UACGUAGGGGGCAAGCGUUGUCCGGAUUCACUGGGCGUAAAGCGCGCGCAGGCGGUCUCUCACGUCAGGGGUGAAAGCCCAGAGCUCAACUCUGGGAUUGCCUUGGAUACGGGGAGACUUGAGGAUCGGAGAGGCAAGGGGAAUUCCACGUGUAGCGGUGAAAUGCGUAGAGAUGUGGAGGAACACCUGUGGCGAAGGCGCCUUGCUGGCCGAUUUCUGACGCUGAGGCGCGAAAGCGUGGGGAGCAAACGGG
rnacentral:rRNA from 1 species